rnacentral:lncRNA from 1 species
AGCACACUGAUGGAAAUUUCCAGAGAUAUUUCUACCUCCCUCACAUCUUUAAUUUUUCAAAUGGACCUCUCUCCAGUUGCCAGGCUGACUCUGCUGCCAAAGCCAGGAGAAUGCUGGCAGCUCCCCAGGGAAGCAUUUUAAUCUCCAGCAUCAAACCAGACCCCUCUUCCAUCCGCCAUCUGCCUGUCUCCAGCCACCUCCAUCCAGGGAAAGCAGGAUGGGACUGAAGGCCUAAUCGGAUCACGGCUCCCGUGUUGUGCACUAAUCAGAUUGUGCUGCAGCCGGGUCCUGCCAGGGGAGCCUUCAGACUCCAGUCUAAGCCUGCUCAGACGGCACCCUCUCUCCUCCCAUCUCAAUUGGAGAGGAGUGGAGGUGAGUCUGGCAUCUCAGAAUUGCUCAGAGGUCUGCGUUAAUGCAGUUUGCUUGGGAUUCACUGUCUCUCCCUCUGCACACAUCUUGGGCAAGCACAUGCCCAACUUCCUGCUUUUCCUGACUUGACUGUUUAAGAAGGUGGUGGGCCAGAGAGGAUAUCAUCACUCCACAUUCCAGACGGUUGUGAGACGCCCAGUGUGGGCCGAAUGCCUGACGAAGCCAGAAGAGGACAUACAGAUUCUUUGGAGCUGGAGUCACGGGCAGAUCUGAGUCUGCCCUGGAGGCCUGACUCCCAGUGCUGCAGCUGUCUCUAGCAAGGUGGCACUUCCUCAGUAAACCGGGGUCACGCGUGGCUCUUGCCCUCUCUGGUCCGCUCAGCCUCUCCUCAGGAUCUGGAGUCUGAAACAUCGCGUUUCCCUUCCGCAGUGAUGCAGGUUCCAAGGCCUAAGAAGUCUCUGUUUCAGAGGAACUACUUCAAGGCAGGCUGCUGAUUCACUUUUCUCUGGGAAUGAGUGCCGAGAGCCGGAAGACAGCACUAGCUGUCAUCCACUGGGGACAGCGAGUUGUGCUACCCAGGUCCUUCUCACAAUUGGGUGUUGGAAGCUGCACGCGAGUCACCGAUGGCCAGCCAUUUUUUUCCUCACCCUGUAAGGUUUCCUGCUUGGCUGGACCCAUGUUCCUGACCCUGAUACUCUUUCCCUGCCUGUAGAAGAAACAUCCAGCAAAGCACAGCCACUUGCAGGCAGUAAUGCAGUGCUGGUCCCCAGUCCUUGUGCUCACUGUGGAUUCCUCUAGGACUGGGGCCGGAGGAAUACGGGAAGGUAAAAGGUGACCAGAGCCUUCUCAGGAUGCAGAAAGCACCAACUUUCACAGAACCAUGCCCUGGAAGGAGGGAGACACAAGCUACGACACCAGCUGUGAGAGAAGAUUGUGUCUGUGAGAACUGGAGGCUCUCUCUGCCUUUCCCCUGGAGGUCUCUGGGUGAAUGUGGCUUCAAUUCAUGUUGCUGGGGGCCCCUCAGUGAGAGCAGCCUCUGUAGCACUCCAUCCCCGGUCACAAGGACAGGAUCCUGUCAAGUGAGGGCAGCAUGUGGCUGUCGCAUGUGGCUGUUGCCUCUCACACUGGGCAGUGAGGCAAGAUGAGAGAAGAGAGCCCCUUAAUUGGCCCACUCAGUAACAAUCAGAUUCAGGACUAACCAGGUUAAGUUAAACAAGGUAGGUCUAGGACUCAGUCUUGAUGAUGGUGAUGGUGGUGAUGCUUGUGAUUAUGAUGCUGCUGGUGAUUGUAGUUCUUUAACAGGCUAUCCAAUACAG